rnacentral:rRNA from 1 species
GGACAAGUGACUAAGUGCACAUGGUGGAUGCCUUGGCGAUAUCAGGCGAUGAAGGACGUAGUAGCUUGCGAUAAGCUGCGGGGAGUGAGCAAACACACAUUGAUCCGCAGAUUUCCGAAUGGGGAAACCCGGCCUUAGGGUCAUCGUAUUCUGAAUACAUAGGAAUACGAAGCGAACGU